ensembl:lncRNA
GCAUCACUAUGUGACUGCUGCUGCCUGAUAAUCUUGCUUCCAGCUCCCUGAGUCAACAACUAACUGAGGUGCCUUUUCUUUUACAAAAGGAUGUCAGCUCUGAGACCCAGGAAGAAAUAACAGACUUCACCUUGGAAUAGCUCACCUCACUCCUGCAUCAUUAAAGCGGAUUUUGUAAAGAAAACAAAAAUCAACCCCCAUUCCAGCCCCUCCUCAUUCCACCACUGAACAGAAAGAGUUUCCUGCUCCAGGAUUCAAGCACAGCAACAUAUAAGAAGAAAACAUAUCACCAAAUAUUGAUAGAGUAAAUAUAAAGCCUCCUGAGUGCUGGGAUUCCAGUCAUGCACCACCAAACCCACUCAAUGAAAGAAAGUAAUUUAAUGUCCUUUCUAAAGUGGUAAGAAGACCCCACUGUGAAAUGAUCUAAAGACUGCUCAAAGACUCAACAACC